AUUGAACGCUGGCGGAAUGCUUUACACAUGCAAGUCGAACGGCAGCACGGACUUCGGUCUGGUGGCGAGUGGCGAACGGGUGAGUAAUACAUCGGAACGUGCCCAGUCGUGGGGGAUAACGUAGCGAAAGUUACGCUAAUACCGCAUACGAUCUACGGAUGAAAGCGGGGGACCGUAAGGCCUCGCGCGAUUGGAGCGGCCGAUGUCAGAUUAGGUAGUUGGUGAGGUAAAGGCUCACCAAGCCGACGAUCUGUAGCUGGUCUGAGAGGACGACCAGCCACACUGGGACUGAGACACGGCCCAGACUCCUACGGGAGGCAGCAGUGGGGAAUUUUGGACAAUGGGCGCAAGCCUGAUCCAGCCAUUCCGCGUGCAGGACGAAGGCCUUCGGGUUGUAAACUGCUUUUGUACAGAACGAAAAGCCUUGGGUUAAUACCCUGAGGUCAUGACGGUACUGUAAGAAUAAGCACCGGCUAACUACGUG
rnacentral:rRNA from 1 species